UAAAACUCUGACUUGAUGCCUUAAACUAAAUUUCAGAAAUGGAAGGAGAGGAAUCAUUGAAUAAAAAAAUAUUCCAUCCAUUACAGGAACAACUCAGUUGAAAACUAAAACAAUUUCCACAUUGCCUUUCUUUUGAACAAAUGGUUGCUCAACAAAAGGAGCAUCAGAUUGACAAAGAUCGGUGAUUGCUUUAUUAGAGAAAUUAGCUCUGGUUGUAUUGAACAAAAAGGUAAAAUACUAUGAAUGAUUUUCCAUCUGACUUCGGUUGUAAUAAGUAGAUGGUUGAUCAAUAUUACACAUUUACAAAGUCAGUUGCAGUAAAGUGG
rnacentral:lncRNA from 1 species